rnacentral:rRNA from 1 species
GCUACAGGCUUAACACAUGCAAGUCGAGGGGCAGCAUGGUCUUAGCUUGCUAAGGCCGAUGGCGACCGGCGCACGGGUGAGUAACACGUAUCCAACCUGCCGUCUACUCUUGGACAGCCUUCUGAAAGGAAGAUUAAUACAAGAUGGCAUCAUGAGUCCGCAUGUUCACAUGAUUAAAGGUAUUCCGGUAGACGAUGGGGAUGCGUUCCAUUAGAUAGUAGGCGGGGUAACGGCCCACCUAGUCUUCGAUGGAUAGGGGUUCUGAGAGGAAGGUCCCCCACAUUGGAACUGAGACACGGUCCAAACUCCUACGGGAGGCAGCAGUGAGGAAUAUUGGUCAAUGGGCGCAGGCCUGAACCAGCCAAGUAGCGUGAAGGAUGACUGCCCUAUGGGUUGUAAACUUCUUUUAUAAAGGAAUAAAGUCGGGUAUGGAUACCCGUUUGCAUGUACUUUAUGAAUAAGGAUCGGCUAACUCCGUGCCAGCAGCCGCGGUAAUACGGAGGAUCCGAGCGUUAUCCGGAUUUAUUGGGUUUAAAGGGAGCGUAGAUGGAUGUUUAAGUCAGUUGUGAAAGUUUGCGGCUCAACCGUAAAAUUGCAGUUGAUACUGGAUAUCUUGAGUGCAGUUGAGGCAGGCGGAAUUCGUGGUGUAGCGGUGAAAUGCUUAGAUAUCGCGAAGAACUCCGAUUGCGAAGGCAGCCUGCUAAGCUGCAACUGACAUUGAGGCUCGAAAGUGUGGGUAUCAAACAGGAUUAGAUACCCUGGUAGUCCACACGGUAAACGAUGAAUACUCGCUGUUUGCGAUAUACGGCAAGCGGCCAAGCGAAAGCGUUAAGUAUUCCACCUGGGGAGUACGCCGGCAACGGUGAAACUCAAAGGAAUUGACGGGGGCCCGCACAAGCGGAGGAACAUGUGGUUUAAUUCGAUGAUACGCGAGGAACCUUACCCGGGCUUAAAUUGCAGAUGAAUUACGGUGAAAGCCGUAAGCCGCAAGGCAUCUGUGAAGGUGCUGCAUGGUUGUCGUCAGCUCGUGCCGUGAGGUGUCGGCUUAAGUGCCAUAACGAGCGCAACCCUUGUUGUCAGUUACUAACAGGUUCCGCUGAGGACUCUGACAAGACUGCCAUCGUAAGAUGUGAGGAAGGUGGGGAUGACGUCAAAUCAGCACGGCCCUUACGUCCGGGGCUACACACGUGUUACAAUGGGGGGUACAGAGGGCCGCUACCACGCGAGUGGAUGCCAAUCCCAAAAACCUCUCUCAGUUCGGACUGGAGUCUGCAAACCGACUCCACGAAGCUGGAUUCGCUAGUAAUCGCGCAUCAGCCACGGCGCGGUGAAUACGUUCCCGGGCCUUGUACACACCGCCCGUCAAGCCAUGGGAGCCGGGGGUACCUGAAGUGCGUAACCGCGAGGAGCGCCCUAGGGUAAAACUGGUGACUGGGGCUAAGUC